CCUACCAGAGGAAGCAGAACCCAGCUGCAAGGAAGACUCUCACACCAGCUGAGCUGCUAUGAAGACCGAGACAAGAGGAGCUGCCUGGAAGAGAUUUAGACCAACGGAGGCACUUGGAAAGGACACUCUCCAAGCCCCGGAGCUGCCUGCAGGCUGUGCAGUGUGGUCCAGUUUCACAGCUGGGUGAGCCGUCUCCCAGGCUAGGGUAGACCUUGGGGGUGCAACUGCCUUUGCAUUAUUUCUGUUUUUGUAAGUAACCCUUAUAAAACUCAUUGGUCCACUGUACUCUGCCUGUACAGCAGUUCUGUACGCGAGCCGGGAACUAGGCUGGAGAUUUGAAAACACAAAGACACACAGAGACAGAGGCAUGGGGACACGGUCAUCCUUGAAACAAGAAUGCCCCCUUUAUUGUGUUCCAGGGCAGCUUAUAUAGGGAUCCUUAACUGACAGCCACGUCCCAGCAAAACCCACCAGAAACCACUCCCCUGCCAUCAGGAACUCCGGAGGGUCUCGUGCUCAGAGCAGCUGCAAACACAGGAAAACAGGUUGCUUUGCUCAGAGCAGCUGCAAGCAUAACAAGUGUUUACAGGAAACUCAGAGCCGGGGGUCCACAGCCCUCAACAGUCCACCAAGUUGGACUUUGGUGGUUUCUGUAUAUUGGAUUGUUGUGGGUUCCCUAUCUGGCAUGAGGAAACGAGUGUGAGGAAAAGUUUUAUCACACAACACCAUGAAAUAUUAGCAAUAUGGCCACCUAAACAGGACCUGUACAAUGAUAAAAGUUGUCGAUGCCCAGCAUGGAAGUGGGAAAUCUCACAAGGCCACAUUGCUAGAUCUCACAAGAUCACAUUGUUGUGAUGAAGAGCUACAAGCAAGUAAUGACUCCUGAAAAAGGGAAGACCGGAUUUCUGCAGAGAGGAGCCCCAAUCUAGCGUCCAUGAAGGGCUGUUUUAUUCCUGAAAUGCUACAGAGGAGACCAUUUGAAUCAGUCAUACGAUACUGGCAAGGCAUGAAAGUCAGGGUGAAAGAAAAUAAGACUCAAUUAUCUUCAUACUCACAGGACUGGGACAUUUGAGGACAAGGAUUCCCAUGGAGAUACGAUUUCUAACUGUAGCGGACCUCAGAGUAGAG